GGUACCACAAAGCAAAGGGGAAUUUUGUAUCACUUUUGAACAAUGAUCUGUUUGUGUGGCGGGCCUGUGCGGAGCUGGAUGCAUCUACAAGCAAGCAGAGAGGCAGCCGGGCUAUGGGGAAAGCUUGUUAUCAUUUUUUGAUAAUUGCUGGAGAAGAUAGAUUGAUCUACUCUUGGAAUCAGGUUAGAAUGCACAGCUUCCUGGUGGACGUUGAUGGAGAAUCUCAGCAGGCUGCUAGGAAAUUGG